AUGAAGGAGAGCGACGUCGCCGCCGGCGUGGUCGGCAUAGGUGACAUGGAGGCGUAGGUGUUCAAGGCCUUGCUCAGCUACAUGUACACCAACUCGUUGCCGGAGAUGGCAAAGAAGGAGGAGGACGCCAUGUACCGGCAUUUCCUUGUGGCGGCAGACAGGUAUAACAUGGAGAGGCUCAAGUUGAUGUGCAAAGACAAGUUGUGCAAGAGAAUCGAUGCAAGCACUGUGGCCAACGUGUUAGCAUUGGCUGAGCUACACCACUGCCGUGAUCUCAAGGGUGCGUGCUUCGAAUUUCUCAUCACUCCUCAAAAUCUAAGCGGGGCCAUGGCCACUGACGGCUUCGAGCAUCUGAGCAAAAGCUGCCCUUGUGUUGUCAAGGGGCUGAUUACCCUGUGCUCCGCAUCCUAG
rnacentral:rRNA from 1 species